rnacentral:lncRNA from 1 species
UAUUUUCCAGCCAAAUGGUGCAACAGAGGACUUCCAGGAAUUUGUUCUUGUUCUCUAUCAAAGGCCCUACAGAUUCAGGACCACGGCCAGCACCCACACUGCCUUCCGUAAACACUGAGCUAAACCUAGAGCCUCGGUGAUGAGAUCAGCCCUGCCUUUGUAAGUUGGUUUUCUCAACAAACAUCAACUGAACAUCUACUAAGCAUAAGUUUCACUUUCUUGACCAGCAGAAGCUGAUACUGAGGGAAUUAUAUUGCUGGUGGGCAGGAGGAAAAUGAAAUGCAGAGAAACAGGGAAACUAAGCCCUGUUGAGGGCUGGGAAAUCCUACUGGGUGAAAAUCUGGGAGUGUUUGGCUGGAAAGAGGAGAUUUGGGGACACAGCUGUUGUCUUCAUCCAUCCAAGGGAGUAUUGUGGACGGAGAAGCAGGCUUAUUGUAUUGGACUUCAGAGGGCUAAACUAGACUCAGUAGGUGGAAGUGACAGCGCGGCAGAGAAAUCCAUCAGAUUUGAGAUCAAAUUUCGGAUCAAGCAUUUUCUGAAGAUGUCCGCAGGCAAGUCUCUGAGCCUCCAUGUCCACAUUUUUAAAAGGAAGUAAAUGA